UACGCGCGUCAGUAGCUUUUACCGGCGAAAAAUCCAACAACAUCGUCCACAAUCCAACAUCUAUUUGUUUUCUAGCCUACUGUCUCUCUGGACUCAAAUUGUCUCUCUCUUAGCUUCAUAAGUGGAGAAUAUACAGAAGAAGACCCAAAAAUAAUGACAAAAUGUUUUCACCACUUUCACCUAGCUUGCAUAUAUGAGUGGAUGGAGAGAAGUGACAGCUGUCCAGUUUGUGGGAAGUGCAAAAUACAUCGAUGGGACUUCUAAAGAAGCUAAGCACUUCAGUUGAUGCUAAUGUUGCUGGGAUCUCUUCAAUGUGCAAAGGCAUAGCUAUAGCCCAUCCAGUCCUUGCUAUUUCGUACUCUGGCUGCUUGUCCUCUCAAUUUCUUGUACUUUUCUGUGCCCUUUUACUCAUGUGCAUUGCUGCCUAUUCCCUACUAGUACGUACCCUUAGGGGUCAUUUGGUUGUUGGUUAGAUUUAUGCAGGUAUUAGUUACGUAGGAUUAAAUUAUUCAUGUAGUACUUAUUUCAUCUUGUACCCUGCAUAAAUUAUACAUAGAUUACCUCAUUUAUGCAUAGAUUACCUCGUAACUUAUACAUGUAUUAGUUAUGCGGGAUCGUAAACUGAUAACCAAAUAUCGUACUUGGUGUGCAGAAUUUUAUACAUAGCAACUAAAAUGCUACCAAACAUGAUACUAUUUAUGCUUGUUUUACAUGAAUAAUUCACUUCCUAGCCAGCAACCAAACGACCCCUUAGAGCACAAAAACAGCAGAAAGCUCCUAAUCAUGCAGAUCCACUGGGAAGAUAUGGGAAUUUCACUUCCCUUCGAACCAAAGGGCUACCAAAGAAUUCUUCUGCAUGUGGCUCAAGUUUGUGAUGCCAAUAUCUUCUGAUUUUCGCCUAUUAUGUGAUAGCUUCCAUUUCUUUUAGUAACUCAACUCAUUGAUUCAAUUGAUACGAGUCUCGAACCCUUGAUCUAAUGGAAGACAUUAAAUCAUAUCUACCACUAAGCUAAGGGACGACUUAGCUUAGGAGAACUGGAUGCAGCUGCUACCUUUAGAAACUUGAGGAUGUUGUGAGAUAUGAACAAGGGACUACAAGAUGAAACCUACAGAUGUUGCUGUUUGCUUUUGUCAAAGUCGGUCACUGGUAUAAUAUCAUUAAAAAUGUUUAUCAACUUCUUUUUUUAUAUUGGUAAAUCAUAAUGAAAUAUAUUAGAGGAAUCAGGCAAGUGCCAGAAAAAUUGAACUCGUACAAAUAAAUAUCAGAUCUAGUCAACUAUGUUAGAUACAGCCUGGAUAAGAAUCUGUUUCCUACUUACUCUCUUGGUAAGUAAAAGUUCGUCCUCAUGAAAAAAGACUCAUUUGGGCUGGUUAACACCACAAUGCUAAAAGUGUUGAUUUUAAGGUAGUACCAAAAAGGUACCACCAAAAGGGUGAUGGCAGAAACACAAGGGGAAAAAAGGAGAGGUGAAUGAAAAUCAGCCAGAAUUCAAGAAUCUGUAUUAGCACAUCUUCUUAUGCCACAAAAUUCCCCAACUCUAUUAUGAGUUAUGUCACGUUUUCUUCUUUACUUCGCUGUGUAUUAACAAACUGGAUUGGUUUGUAACUUCAUGAAAAGUUGC